rnacentral:lncRNA from 1 species
CUUCCGACAACCUCAUUGAAAAAAAGAAAAGAAAAAAAGAAGAGAAAACAAACUGGUGACUAGGUAUGUCGUGAUGUAAACCUACAAAUAAGUCAAUAUAAAUUUCAAUUCAACAAUUAAGUCCGUAUCUUGAGUGUUUAGCUGGGGAAUUAUAGCAUUGGAAACAGCAAUUACAUCUAAACAACUAUUUGAAUGAAUUAAUUUGAUCUUUGAAGAAAUGCUAACCGGACUUGCUCAAGAGAGAGAUUAUAUUACAAGGACAUGAUGUCACCUCAUAAUUCUUACGACGGAUUCAUGAGGUGAACAAGUUUAUGUAGAGAUUAUCUUUUGAACAAAUCCUGUCAGCAAUUUUGAACUCUGUUGUAAAAUGCUUGUAUCCAUCAUUUUGAUUGCAUGGGCGAGCUGCCUCUUCAUCUUUUCCAAAGCCCAGAUCCAUUCAUCAUUUUGAUUGCGUUUUCCAAUUUGCCAUGAGAGGGAGAGGCAAAUAUGGAAUUCUCAGCUUUCCAAUUGUCAUAUUUGGUGGGCUGAAAAUGAUCUAUUGACCCGGCCAUACGUCUCAGAGACAAGCACAUAACAUAUUUAACAUGUGGAUGGUUGAUGGUGGGUGGUGAAGCUUCUUCUCUUUGGGUUUUAGAGAGCUUUGGAAAAGAGAAUGUAGGAUCCAGUUACUGAUAGGUUUUGGACGUCCAAGAUUGAGAUGCUCCAAAAAUAAUAUGCAUUUCAACUAAAGAGAGAAAUGUUUUCUUGCGGAAAUGUACGUUGAGAUUGAAUCUGAACACUUG